rnacentral:rRNA from 1 species
GACGAACGCUGGCGGCGUGCCUAAUACAUGCAAGUUGAGCGCUGAAGGUUGGUACUUGUACCAACUGGAUGAGCAGCGAACGGGUGAGUAACGCGUGGGGAAUCUGCCUUUGAGCGGGGGAUAACAUUUGGAAACGAAUGCUAAUACCGCAUAAAAACUUUAAACACAAGUUUUAAGUUUGAAAGAUGCAAUUGCAUCACUCAAAGAUGAUCCCGCGUUGUAUUAGCUAGUUGGUGAGGUAAAGGCUCACCAAGGCGAUGAUACAUAGCCGACCUGAGAGGGUGAUCGGCCACAUUGGGACUGAGACACGGCCCAAACUCCUACGGGAGGCAGCAGUAGGGAAUCUUCGGCAAUGGACGAAAGUCUGACCGAGCAACGCCGCGUGAGUGAAGAAGGGUUUCGGAUCGUAAAACUCUGUUGGUAGAGAAGAACGUUGGUGAGAGUGGAAAGCUCAUCAAGUGACGGUAACUACACAGAAAGGGACGGCUAACUACGUG